rnacentral:rRNA from 1 species
AUUGAACGCUGGCGGCAGGCCUAACACAUGCAAGUCGAACGAGUGGCGGACGGGUGAGUAAUGUCUGGGAAACUGCCCGAGGGAGGGGGAUAACUACUGGAAACGGUAGCUAAUACCGCAUACCAUCGGAUGUGCCCAGAUGGGAUUAACUAGUAGGUGGGGUAACGGCUCACCUAGGCGACGAUCCCGAGCUGGUCUGAGAGGAGGACCAGCCACACUGGGACUGUGACACGGUCCAGACUCCUACGGGAGGCAGCAGUGGGGAAUAUUGCACAAUGGGCGCAAGCCUGAUACCGCCAUGCCGCGUGUAUGAAGAAGGCCUUCGGGUUGUAAAGUACUUUCAUCGAGGAGGCGUUACUCGCAGAAGAAGCACCGGCUAACUCCGUGCCAGCAGCCGCGGUAAUUC